GUGGGUAGUUUGACUGGGGCGGUCUCCUCCCAAAGAGUAACGGAGGAGCACGAAGGUUAGCUAAUCCUGGUCGGACAUCAGGAGGUUAGUGCAAUGGCAUAAGCUAGCUUGACUGCGAGCGUGACGGCGCGAGCAGGUGCGAAAGCAGGUCAUAGUGAUCCGGUGGUUCUGAAUGGAAGGGCCAUCGCUCAACGGAUAAAAGGUACUCCGGGGAUAACAGGCUGAUACCGCCCAAGAGUUCAUAUCGACGGCGGUGUUUGGCACCUCGAUGUCGGCUCAUCACAUCCUGGGGCUGAAGUAGGUCCCAAGGGUAUGGCUGUUCGCCAUUUAAAGUGGUACGCGAGCUGGGUUUAGAACGUCGUGAGACAGUUCGGUCCCUAUCUGCCGUGGGCGCUGGAGAAUUGAGGGGGGCUGCUCCUAGUACGAGAGGACCGGAGUGGACGCAUCACUGGUGUUCGGGUUGUCAUGCCAAUGGCAUUGCCCGGUAGCUAAAUGCGGAAGAGAUAAGUGCUGAAAG
rnacentral:rRNA from 1 species